rnacentral:lncRNA from 1 species
AAUAUUGUAUUGUAUACCUGAAAUGUGCUCAGAGAAUAGAUCUCUUUGUUGUGUUUUGCUGCUUUCAACUCUUUCUCCCCUUCAGAAGGACUAAGAUGAUAACUUUCUCCUUCAGCUUUUUCAUUAGAUCCUGUAACUUUUUUCAUCUGGUUCUAGUUGUUGUUAAUAAAACCUUGACCAUUGAUACUGCCUCUGGCAUAUCUUGCCCAAAAAGGAAAGGGGGAAUACAUACUAAAAAGUAACAUCCUA